CCCCCCCCCCCCCCACUGCAGGCCUAGUCUUUGUUUACAUCUUUUGAGCUAUUCGGUAUAAUUUGACACAGAUAGUGAUUGCUAACAGCUUUGUGACUUGUAUUCUUUCAUAACGAAUAACGGAUCCAAUCAGUCGUUGUACUUGGUGCUUACGGUGCAUGUGACGUUACUGCAUGGUGCACUGACGUUAACAGAGGUAUCUGGGCACCAACAAAUAAUGCAGAGAUAGCGUUUUAGAAGUUGUUAUCCAUACGUUGGACAUUGAGGACAUUGAAAACGUAUUCAUUUAUUACAUAUUCUUGUGCCUAAGAGACUAUAAGUCUGAGUUGCAUGUGUAUGGAUGUACCUCGUCAGGUCAUUUGCAUGUGGAGUGGAGUGAAGGUAUUUGGGCAAACAUAUACUUUUAAAUCAUAUUUGCAAUCUUGCAGCAUCUGUACCGUGCCGAAUUGUCGACUUUAUUCCCGAUCCAUGACCAUUUGCUUCCAAUCACCAUUAGGAUUAGUCCCUUUCCCGAGUAUUUACAAAUCCACCCCUCCCUCCCCCCUAAGUCCCUUGUUAUUUAAUUAGCAGAAGGCCUAUAAUUAGCCAGGCACACUACAGAAUCCAGGGAGAUCUACUGAGAUAAUUGGCCGGGCUCACCUAGACCCUGAGCUAUUUCUUUAUUUCUAUCUUUUUACUCCUUUCUCUCCUCGAGUGGUCACCGUUAUCUUCACCACCUCAUCUCCUCAAAACAUCUGCUUUUAAAAGCGAUUACUAUUUACUACAUUCUGAUAAAAUCGUGUUCAUUCCAUUAUUGCCAUCUGUGAUGGAGCUACUUUUUGAGAAAAACAUUGGACGCCAGGACAAGGACAUACUCUUAUCCUCUCAGACUGGUUGGCCGCAUAAAUUAUACCCCUUACUACAUACUCUACAAAAACACUAAUGUGUGUACUAAGGCGCAUCAUUCAUGCCAACACAUUGGUUUGAAUAACGAAUAGUUGAAAGCAAUAGCCUGUUCUUCUUUCAGCAAUUCAUGUUGUCAAGGAAACCAAAGCUGUACAGAGUGCAGUCAGGUGUGUUAAGUGUGGUUGGGGCUAUUAGCCUCCCUUGGUGAGAGAUGAAUCUUGUGUCUCAGAGAAGAGACAUUUAUAGCAGGUUUUCUGUGAGAAGAUGGCCUAUUUAAGACCUUUGCGGUCCUUCAAUGCUGUUAAUUGAGAGCCAGCUCAUCCUUAGCCAGUGGGCUCUCCUAUCAAGCCACCAGCAUAGGAUAAAUGGUGCCCAGAGGCCUCUAUAUUCAGUGUCUACCCAGUUUCAAACACUCUGUACUCGUGUCACCCUGUACAAAUGUAAUGCCAGUGCUUUAACUAUAGAACAUUUUGCGUCCUUUGCUUCUGUCACUGUAUCACUACCUGAAAAGAAUUGUCCCUAUGUACAGAGCUCCCAGAAUAUUUUAUUAAUCUCCAAAUAAAUCACAGCAAAACUGAUGAUUGAUUUAUUUCAAGUUGAAAUCUUGAAGAUAACCAAAGAUUUUCAUUUGAAUACACUUAAGUCACCAUCGCCAAACAAGUUAAAACAAUGCUGAUUGAGCCUAUGGCCCAGUGAUGAAAGCCUGUGCAUUUGCAGUGUUAUAAUUGUUACCAACUGGGUGUUGGACAUUCCUGCCUUGCCCUCAAAUAACAAGUAGUGCACAGCUAGCGAUGCCUUUGCCCUCGCCCAGCGGCAGUUGGAAGGCCCAAGAUUCUGGGUACGGCGGAGCCACCGCAUCAGGCUCGCUCAUCAACUGACUGGUGGCUCAAGUGGCAGAAGUUUGUCCGCCACUGGAGCCCCCAAAGAGAAUGAAACCGAGCUCUCCGAGAUGACCACUUUAACACUAUGAAAGUUGCAUUAAGGAGAAGAUGGUUGAUCCUCAGACCGGCCCACACACGCAUAGUGUUCCCAUCUACGAUUUUAUUUCAAGCAGCUGUGCUGGGGUGGGUAUGAGGUGCACUAUGUUGAUGCACGCCUGCACUGUGUUGAUGUGUGCAACCAACACUAUUUGUCAGUUGUCAGUAUUUUCCCUCGAUAUUUCUCCAAUGAUAUUACGAAUUCUACUACUAAUUGUUUGGUUGCACUAGGGGGCAUCCACAUCUUAUGAUAUAAAUACAGUGUAUACAUAACAAAUAUUGAUUAUAGACAUCAUUAUUUGCGUGGCGGUAGUAAUCCAGUGGCAGCAGCUGGAUGCAUGAAGGAAAAACCCUGGGAUAGGUGCAGGGUGUCUGGAAAGUGGGUCAUGACGUUUUAUUUUUUAUCAUUGAGGAUUUUCCUGACACCCAAUCUCACUCACUCAGUGUGUGAGUGAGAUUGCAUAGUUGUCCUCACAGUAGAUUCCUGUUAACCUUAACAGUGAUUCUUUUGUUUUGCGAAUAAAUCAUCUUAUGAGGAGACUUUGAACCCUGCCAGCCCAAAUCAUUAUUCCUUCCUAAUCCUUUCACUCAAAGUUUAUUGUUGUUGGCGAUUUCACUUUGAUGUGCAGUUUAAAAGAAACCAUAAACAUUGCUGUGGAUGUACUGAGCUGAAAGCAAAAAACACAUAAUUAGUAUUGUCAAAUUUGUCACUAGGUAGAACUAUAGGAGCGAAUUGCCUUCAGCUUUAAAUUGGGUUCAUUGUUAUGGGAACAAAAUCUGUGACACCCUACGAGUCCGGAGAGAACCGUAACGUAACGAUGGCAAUCAGAAAUGACACACAGCAAUAUAAAGUACAACAGUAAAAUAAUUGUCCCUCAUAGUUUUAAUUUAUUGUGAGCCUCGUUAAAUAGUUUGACACUAGUUUACAAUAAGAGCCUAUCUUCAGCCCCUUUUGGGGGUGGUUGGUUAUUCUGUGUGCUUUGCUUGGUCUUUGCUGAAUGUUUGCUCCCAUCAUUUAAAGACAACAUAGGGAACCAUCCAGCCUCUGUGGGGGGAGGUGGCUGUUGUUCCACCAACUGGGGGGAUGUUUUGGUUCUAAAUGAUCCUGGGCUCUUGAUUGUGAAUGUUGAACCAUGGACUGAGGAGUGUGCAUCGGUCCGGCCCUUCCAUUGGCUUAGCCAAAGAGACGCCUCCCUUGUGCAGCCAAUGAGGGAGAGGCCAAAUGAAGGUUGUGUUCUUUUCGAUACGAAAUAUUUGGACUGGAACGGCUUUAGCGGUUGACCCUGGCAGGACAAACACCGGGGGGGGGAUUUCAGCUGCGUGCCUCUGGGACGAAUAGCGUGUGGCACUCUUGGGUUCCAGACAGACACCUGGUUGUGUGUGUGUGGGUGCGUGAGGGUGUGUUACUGUGUACCAGGGGUCAUGUUGUUUUCUCAAUCUCAGUUUGCUGUGACGCCCAUUUUAUGUUCCUUGGCUCAGAGUCAGACUGACCCAAGACGAGUCUAAGGUUUAGAGGAUAGGAGCAUUUUUCUGUGCAUCUUGGGCUGUAUCUGUAAGAUAAGGACACCCAAUCGGCCUCCUGGUCUUGAUGUGCACACAUUAGGGACACAAAGGUUGUUUGGACUGAUUUGAAGGACCUGUAUAUUUCUCCAGCUGAUUGUCAGAAUCAGCUGGAACAAUAUACAGGUCACUCAAUGGUAAACAUAAUUUAUUGUAUUAUGUUAUUCCAUAUUUGAGAUAACUUCUUAAUGAUGCAAUAUCGGAUACAUUUAAUUUAAUUCAUCCAUAACAUUCCCUCUGCUGAAAAUUAGAUCAAGCAUGCAUGGUUCUGAAAAACAAAUCUCUGGGAAAAAUGUAGACCAGAUGUGUGUGUGUGUGUGUGUGUGUGUGUGUGUGUGUGUGUGUGUGUGUGUGUGUGUGUGUGUGUGUGUGUGUGUGUGUGUGUGUGUGUGUGUGUGUGUGUGUGUGUGUGUGUGUGUGUGUGUGUGUGUGUGUGUGUGUGUGUGUGUGUGUUGCUGCUGACACAGCAGAGUUUAGUUUUGGAAGCAGCAACUUUUGCUUGGUUGACUUGCUAAGAGACAUUGUCCUCUGCUCGGCCAUUAGCUCAGUUCCUUCCGCUUGUUUUCUUUUGAUAACAGCAAUGGAGCAAACAAUGAAGUCAAUCAGAUCUCUAGAGUUGAACAGACCUUCCCUUCACAGCUUUCUGCACAAUUAUGAUCUUUUAGAUUUGUGCUACUCAAGCCUCCAUGCAGUUCAACGAGUCAGCAGUUUGUUCCUGUUAAACCCACAAUGACCUUUCAAACAUGAGAAACUGGGCAAUAGUGCUAUUUCUGAUAUGUUAUAAUGAUGAUUAGAGCCCAAGCGAUGUAUCUGUUGGCCGAUUCUAUCGGUCGAUAUUGGCUUAUCACAGAUAUAUCGGUGUCGAUGUUUGCCGAUAUGCACUGAUAUUUGAAAUGGUUUUCUAAAUGUAAUCGCCUCUUUAUAAAUUCUCUAUUGUGGUGGUUGAUAAACCAAAUUGUUAAACUUGGCACAUCCAAAUAAACACCCCCAACAUUUAGUUUGACAUUCCUAACCCUACAUGAUCUGUGUGAAGCUUAGUAGCCCCCCCAAUACGGUUCAUUGGUUCCUUUAGCUCAUGGUGUGUGUGUGUGUGUGUGUGUGUGUGUGUGUGUGUGUGUGUGUGUGUGUGUGUGUGUGUGUGUGUGUGUGUGUGUGUGUGUGUGUGUGUGUGUGUGUGUGUGUGUGUGUGUGUGUGUGUGUGUGUGU